rnacentral:tRNA from 1 species
UGAUAAUUAGUUUAGUUAAAAUAAAUGAUUUCGACUCAUUAGACUAUGGUAAGACCAUAAUUAUCAAA